rnacentral:rRNA from 1 species
AGAGUUUGAUCAUGGCUCAGAGUGAACGCUGGCGGCAUGCCUAACACAUGCAAGUCGAACGGUAACGGGCCCGCAAGGGUGCCGACGAGUGGCGGACGGGUGAGGAAUACAUCGGAAUUUGCCCAGUCGUGGGGGAUAACGUAGGGAAACUUACGCUAAUACCGCAUACGACCGGAAGGUGAAAGCGGGGGAUCAGCAAUGACCUCGCGCGAGUGGAUGAGCCGAUGUCGGAUUAGCUAGUUGGUAGGGUAAAGGCCUACCAAGGCGACGAUCCGUAGCUGGUCUGAGAGGAUGAUCAGCCACACUGGGACUGAGACACGGCCCAGACUCCUACGGGAGGCAGCAGUGGGGAAUAUUGGACAAUGGGGGCAACCCUGAUCCAGCAAUGCCGCGUGUGUGAAGAAGGCCUUCGGGUUGUAAAGCACUUUUGUCCGGAACGAAACGCGCUUGGUGAAUAGCCAGGCGAACUGACGGUACCGGAAGAAUCAGCACCGGCUAACUUCGUGCCAGCAGCCGCGGUAAUACGAAGGGUGCAAGCGUUACUCGGAAUUACUGGGCGUAAAGCGUGCGUAGGUGGUUUUUUAAGUCCGUUGUGAAAGCCCUGGGCUCAACCUGGGAAUGGCAGUGGAUACUGGAAAGCUAGAGUGCGGUAGAGGGUAGUGGAAUUCCCGGUGUAGCAGUGAAAUGCGUAGAGAUCGGGAGGAACACCAGUGGCGAAGGCGGCUACCUGGACCAGCACUGACACUGAGGCACGAAAGCGUGGGGAGCAAACAGGAUUAGAUACCCCGGUAGUCC